rnacentral:rRNA from 1 species
GUAGGUGGCAAGCGUUGUCCGGAAUUAUUGGGCGUAAAGCGCGCGCAGGCGGUCCUUUAAGUCUGAUGUGAAAGCCCACGGCUCAACCGUGGAGGGUCAUUGGAAACUGGGGGACUUGAGUACAGAAGAGGAAAGCGGAAUUCCAAGUGUAGCGGUGGAAUGCGUAGAGAUUUGGAGGAACACCAGUGGCGAAGGCGGCUUUCUGGUCUGUAACUGACGCUGAGGCGCGAAAGCGUGGGGAGCAAACAGGAUUAGAUACCCUGGUAGUCCACGCCGUAAACGAUGAGUGCUAAGUGUUAGGGGGUUUCCCGCCCCCCUUAGUGCUGCAGCUAACGCAUUAAGCACUCCGCCUGGGGAGUACGGCCGCAAGGCUG